UAUUCACCUCUCCACUCUCAUUCAUUCACCGCCCCUUGUAUUAGUCCUUAGAUUUGGUGUUUAUUGUUUAGAAUUUUUUAUUACUCUUUGUUACUGCUUUUUCAUGUUUUUGAAUUUGUAUUAACUAUUUAGCACCAAUGAGGAAGACAUCCCAGGAAUAGGAAGUGCCGUAUGACACUUUUAAACAACACCGGCGAAGCAGUUUCCACUCUCAUCUCCCAUCCACCGUUGAUCAGUUUCCUUCCCGUUUCUGUUCGACGGUCGGGAUUUCGUGGUAUUCUGCUCCGCCGCUGUGUGUGUGAUUUGUAACGGGUCUCUGAGGUUUUUUCAAUGUUUUAAUUUAUUGGGUCCGAUGCCACGUCGACGGUAGCAAAAAUAAGCAAUGACCGAAGAAUUCAGAAAUUGAAGCAAGAGUUGAAUAAGUCUUUUGCUAUGAAAGAUUUGGGACCAACAGAUUGUUCGUGAUAGAAAGGCCAAGAAGCUGUGGUUAUUACAAGAAAAGUACGUUCAGAACGUACUUUGAAGGUUCAACAUGGAUGGAGCUAAGUUUGUCAGGACACCUUUUGCUAUGCACUUCAAAUUAAGCACGAAGCAAUGUCCUUCCGGUGAUGAUGAGAAGGAAGGUACGAAGGAAGUUCCUUAUGCUUCAGCCAUUGGCAGUAUGCUGUAUACGAUGAUUUGUACAAGAUCAAUUAUUAUUCAUGUUGUUGGUAUUGUUAGCUGUUUUCUUUCUAAUCCAGAAAGAGAGAAUUGGAAUGUUAUGAAGUGGAUUAUGAAAUAUCUUUGUGGCACUUCUAGUUUGGCAAGAACUCUACAUUUCAUGGUAGGUUAAAACAUAUUGAUGUGAUAUACAAUUGGAUUCGUGA